CCUACGGGAGGCAGCAGUGGGGAAUAUUGCACAAUGGGCGCAAGCCUGAUGCAGCGACGCCGCGUGAGGGAUGACGGCCUUCGGGUUGUAAACCUCUUUCAGUAGGGAAGAAGCGAAAGUGACGGUACCUGCAGAAGAAGCGCCGGCUAACUACGUGCCAGCAGCCGCGGUAAUACGUAGGGCGCAAGCGUUAUCCGGAAUUAUUGGGCGUAAAGAGCUCGUAGGCGGUUUGUCGCGUCUGCCGUGAAAGUCCGGGGCUCAACUCCGGAUCUGCGGUGGGUACGGGCAGACUAGAGUGAUGUAGGGGAGACUGGAAUUCCUGGUGUAGCGGUGAAAUGCGCAGAUAUCAGGAGGAACACCGAUGGCGAAGGCAGGUCUCUGGGCAUUAACUGACGCUGAGGAGCGAAAGCAUGGGGAGCGAACAGGAUUAGAUACCCUGGUAGUCCAUGCCGUAAACGUUGGGCACUAGGUGUGGGGGACAUUCCACGUUUUCCGCGCCGUAGCUAACGCAUUAAGUGCCCCGCCUGGGGNGACGCGCGAGACGAAACUAAUAGAGUAGAGCGNGAGAGNGCGACGACGACGACGAGGGAGAGG
rnacentral:rRNA from 1 species